AACGAACGCUGGCGGCAUGCCUAACACAUGCAAGUCGAACGAGACCUUCGGGUCUAGUGGCGCACGGGUGCGUAACGCGUGGGAACCUGCCCUUAGGUUCGGAAUAACUCCCCGAAAGGGGUGCUAAUACCGGAUAAUGUCUUCGGACCAAAGAUUUAUCGCCUUUGGAUGGGCCCGCGUUGGAUUAGCUAGUUGGUAGGGUAAAAGCCUACCAAGGCGACGAUCCAUAGCUGGUCUGAGAGGAUGAUCAGCCACACUGGGACUGAGACACGGCCCAGACUCGUGCGGGAGGCAGCAGUGGGGAAUAUUGGAGAAUGAGCGAAAGCCUGAUCCAGCAAGGCCGCGUGAGUGAUGAAGGCGUUAGGGUUGUAAAGCUCUUUUACCCGGGAGGAUAAUGACAGUACCGGGAGAAUAAGCUCCGGCUAACUCCGU
rnacentral:rRNA from 1 species